rnacentral:rRNA from 1 species
UACGGAGGGUGCGAGCGUUGUCCGGAAUCAUUGGGCGUAAAGAGCGUGUAGGCGGCUCGGUAAGUCCGCUCUGAAAAGCCCCGGGGCUCAACCCCCGGGAGGCGGGCGGAUACUGUCGAGCUAGAGUCCGGAAGAGGCGAGUGGAAUUCCCUGGUGUAGCGGUGAAAUGCGCAGAUAUCAGGAGGAACACCAAUGGCGAAGGCAGCUCCGCUGGGACGGUACUGACGCUGAGACGCGAAAGCGUGGG